rnacentral:rRNA from 1 species
GACGAACGCUGGCGGCGCGCUUAAUACAUGCAAGUCGAGCGAGAACCAGGGCUUCGGCCCUGGGGACAGCGGCGAACGGGUGAGUAACACGCGGGUAAUCAACCCCCGACACCGGGAUAGCCCAGGGAAACUUGGAUUAAUACCGGAUGCCCCAUCUGGCUUUCGAGCCGACUGGAAAAGGGUAGCUUCGGCCUCCGGUCGGGGACGAGCCCGCGGCGGAUUAGCUUGUUGGUGAGGGAAAGGCUCACCAAGGCGACGAUCCGUAGCUGGUCUGAGAGGACGAUCAGCCACACUGGGACUGAGACACGGCCCAGACUCCUACGGGAGGCAGCAGUAGGGAAUCUUGCGCAAUGGGCGAAAGCCUGACGCAGCGACGCCGCGUGAGGGAAGAAGGCCUUCGGGUUGUAACCCUCUUUCAGGAGGGACGAAGCCACUCGGGUUAAUAGCCUAGAGGGUGACGGUACCUCCAGAAGAAGCCCCGGCUAACUACGUGCCAGCCGCCGCAGUAA